CAGCCGCCGCGGUAACACGUAGGGUGCAAGCGUUAAUCGGAAUUACUGGGCGUAAAGCGUGCGCAGGCGGUUUGUUAAGACAGAUGUGAAAUCCCCGGGCUCAACCUGGGAACUGCAUUUGUGACUGGCAAGCUAGAGUAUGGCAGAGGGGGGUGGAAUUCCGCGUGUAGCAGUGAAAUGCGUAGAUAUGCGGAGGAACACCGAUGGCGAAGGCAGCCCCCUGGGCCAAUACUGACGCUCAUGCACGAAAGCGUGGGGAGCAAACAGGAUUAGAUACCCCUGUAGUCCCUGUCUCUUAUAC
rnacentral:rRNA from 1 species